CUAAAACAUUUACUAAAAAUAAUAUUACAACUAUUUGAAUAAAAUAAAAAUAUUCAAUAAAAUAUUCUAAUUUCUUGUAAAACAAUAUUUAUAGAGUCAUCGGUAAUUAAUUUUUUUUGUAAUGUAAAAGCUAAAAAAAUUCAUACGUACUACAAUACAGAUAACCGGGAUAUGAAAUUUACUUUACAGUGACUCGUGGGCCCACAAGGAACAAAAGUGCACAAAGGUAGUAAACCUACAGUUUUUGGAGUAGUAAAGCCGACUAUAGCCUUCGACGAUAUUACCUAUCUACACACUAUCCUGAGCCUGAAAUGGGUGGAAAUGAGGGUGGUGAGAUUAUAUAAUCCCAGUGAGUAAACAAAUACCAUCUAAAAUAUCUAAAGCCGAGUAAAUAGAUACAAUUAAAAUAAAUCAUCAUACUAUAAUUUCAUUACCUUUCAACUUAUUUCAACCAAAUAAACAACUAGGCUUAUGAUUUCCUGAAAGCUUGGCUCGUGCCAAAAAUCAUUCUCAUACUCAGUUAUCAGGGAUGCCUUGAUCGAGGGCUAUAUCAAUCGAGUCCGUCAAGGUUGUUAAAAAGUCAUGUACGCAUAAAUUAUGUUUUUAUUUUGAAAACAUAACCGUUCCUUGGCGUUGGCUGAGUUCACCCUCACGUGGUGGUUUGGCGCAAAGUGAAUUCUAAAAGUGUUAGCCUCAGGAGUUUUCCACCUGCGCCUCUCAUAUUGAGGUAAGAUAUAACAGGGUUUACCGUGCCCCUCUAAUAGGCUGGUCCACGAAAACCCGCCCACUGCAGUAAGCUCAUCAUUAUCCCACCAAUCACUAAAAUUCAAUAACAUGAUAUGGCAAUUAUUGUAAUUCACAGCCUUUCAAGGCUAAAUACACAGUUCAUAUAUUUCAACACAAAUACCAAUUCAGCCAUUCAUACAAAUAUUGUCAUAAGCCAGUCAAUUCAAACCAUGAAUUUACAACACCUUAAGUGGUCUCCAGUUACUCUAUUUUCAAAGUCAUCAUUCAAUUUCAAGACAAUUUAUAAAAUCAUUUUAUUUAAACACGUUUUGUUUGUAAAUAGAAAGAUUUACCAUUUAAACUCAUUUUCCAUAAAAUCCACAAAAUCGAAUAAAAAUCACUCUAGAUAAUUAAGACGAUAGUAAGGUUACUCACUGUACUAGGAGUUCGAUAUACUCCUAUUCCCAGUCUUCGGGCACAAUCUCUUUACCUUUAUUAGAG
rnacentral:lncRNA from 1 species